GAUGAAGAACGCAGCGAAAUGCGAUAAGUAAUGUGAAUUGCAGAAUUCAGUGAAUCAUCGAAUCUUUGAACGCACAUUGCGCCCGGCAGCAAUCUGCCGGGCAUGCCUGUCCGAGCGUCAUUUCUUCCCUCGAGCGCGGCUAGCCCUACGGGGCCUGCCGUCGCCCGGUGUUGGGGCUCUACGGGUGGGGCUCGUCCCCCCCCGCAGUCCCCGAAAUGUAGUGGCGGUCCAGCCGCGGCGCCCCCUGCGUAGUAGAUCCUACAUCUCGCAUCGGGUCCCGGCGAAGGCCAGCCGUCGAACCUUUUAUUUCAUGGUUUGACCUCGGAUCAGGUAGGGUUACCCGCUGAACUUAAGCAUAUCAAUAAGCGGAGGA
rnacentral:misc_RNA from 1 species